UACGUAGGGUGCGAGCGUUAAUCGGAAUUACUGGGCGUAAAGCGUGCGCAGGCGGUUUUGUAAGCCAGAUGUGAAAUCCCCGGGCUUAACCUGGGAAUGGCAUUUGGGACUGCAAGGCUUGAGUGCGGCAGAGGAGACUGGAAUUCCUGGUGUAGCGGUGAAAUGCGCAGAUAUCAGGAGGAACACCGGUGGCGAAGGCGGGUCUCUGGGCCGUAACUGACGCUGAGGAGCGAAAGCGUGGGGAGCGAACAGG
rnacentral:rRNA from 1 species